rnacentral:lncRNA from 1 species
GUCAGAAAGACUAAAUUAGGUCAUAAUAAUGGCUGCUGCCAGUGUCUCAGUCCCUGGAGGGGUGGGCCCGGCUGCCUCCUGCCUCUCCAAGAUGUCCUUAAGCUUAGCCUUUCACUGUCUUUUGUGUGGAUUGUUGCAUCAUUACUAGCUCACCUUUCCCCAGUUACUGGGCCAUACAGGUGGUGAGACAGGAGAAGUCCUGGUUUCCUUGAAUUUCAGACAAGAAGACUAAUUGACAAGGUCCUAUUUGGCUUCCUUGACAAAAAAUUAAGGCAGGACAAAAAUGUGGUUGUUAUUAAUUGUGGCAAGUUUGAUCUCUGCGUUUAGAACUACACAUGGUUUCUUUGGAAAAUUAAAUCCUGAAAACCUUGAAGUGACUGUAAAUAUUGUGAAGAAUCUGCAAUUGUGACUGAAGAUGGUUAUAUCCUUGAGAUCAACAGAAUUCCUUAUGGGAAGAAAAAUUCAGGCCAGACCUGUUGUGUUUUUGCAACAUGAUUUUCUCACAUUGGCCACAAACUGGAUUUCCAACCCUCCCAAUAACAGCCUGGACUUCCUUCUGGCAGAUGCUUGUUACGACGUGUGGCUGGGGAACAGCAGAGGAAAUAUUUGG